GCGGCGGCUCCGCGCCCCGGCCGUGCCCGCGCUCGUUCCGCGUCCCUCGGCCGGGCCCGGCUCCGCAGCAGCGUGAGGAUGCCAGAGACAUACCGGAGCAGAAGCCAGAAGGUGCAUCUUCAAACGCACCCCAGCCUGGAGAAGCUAUGGCAAAGCAAUCAUGUACCCCGAUAACAAACCCCCAAGACCUAACCCUCACCCCAGCCUUGCUGGGAGCGGUAAGCACCCUGCCCUGCUUAUGGUGAAAAACACCUCCUGCGAGCCAAAUAGAUGCCUGCUCAUUUUACAAAAUCUUUUCUGACUUCGACGGGCUCUUGACCAGCAGGUGACACAUCCUCGGGCCUAUGAGCUCCGAGGGUGUUGCUUUCCCAUAAGUGGUUGCUCUCUGAGAAGCCCCAGUAGCCUCUGAGCCCAAGGGGGCUCUGGGGGAUUGGGGGGGGGGGGGGGGGGGGUGUUCUCCUGCAGGCUCCGUUUUGCCAUCCUCCCGCCAGCCUGCAGGUAGGCUUUCCUGUUCAUAGGUAGGCUUGUGGUGCUCGUAGGAAGGUGACAUCCAGCUCCAAGUCUGUGGUUAAUCAAGCCUGCUUGGUGAAGUUGAACAAUUUAAUCAGUGCCUGACGAAGCCUUGGAUAUAUCUCUGUUAUAUCAAAUUGUCUUCAAAUGUAAAGCAGUCGUCAGACGCGAGAUGUGGGGGAAGUAACAAGACACUGGCAGUUCCUGCCCUGGUCCUGGGAGAAAUGCUGUGUGGCUGCACCGCAGUACAGCCAUUCGAGCACGGCAGCCUGUACUGGUGUGUGUGGCCACGUCAAGGCCGAGGUGAUGCUCCUGUUCCCAGGACGCUCUCGAGCUAUUUACCAGAUCACAGCUUGGGUAUGCAUUACUUAGCAACCCUUGCCAGGAACGCUUUUCCUUUGCUUGGUGAGAAGGCUGGAACUCUUCCUUCAAGGACACUGUCAGAUAACUGCCCUGUUGCUUGUGUGCAGAGUUUUUGCGAUACAGUGGCAGGACGAUGGGAUCUGAAGGCCCCUCAGAUGUGGCACUGAACGGCACUGUGUGGGUUUGUCCUGUUUCUUGCAGGAAACAUGCCCCACCCAUGCUUCAUGCCCUGCCCAGCCUGCUGCUUCAUCUACAGGUGUAGAAGAAGGGUGGGGUUUUUUUGGUUAAGAUGUUACUGUCUUGGGACCUGGUUAUUUUAGCAAGUUUUUUUCCAGUUCCAAGUUAACACUACGAUUCUGAUGAGUUGAAGCACAGAAAAUGGUAUCCCCGUCCUGCCUGUUGUUUUCUUGGUCAAGCCUAGACUGUAUUUAUUGCUUCUCAAACGGUAGCUGGGUUUGCCGGGCUUUCAGAUCUUCCCUGGGGUGACAGUGCUGACUGUCCACGCUAGAAUUGGCAAGUAGAGUUGAAGUUAUGUGCUUUGUGAGUAAUAUGGUAAUUUUUUUUCUGAGUACCAGUUCGAUUAAACAGUUUUGUGGGUUGUUGUUUUUUUGUUUGUUUUUUUUUGUUUUUUUUUUAAAUGAGAUUAAUGGUGCUUAAAACAUAAAAAGAAAGUAAUUAGACAUAAAAUAGGGCGUUUAUUUAUAGUGGUCUAAUUGAAGCGGCUCCAGUUGUUAGUGUUAAAACAGUAUAAUCUCCUUAUGGUGCAGGCAGCUGUAGAAAUAGGAAAGCAUUUUAAACUAGUAGAAGGGUUUUCACACUCGCUUCCUCAAUGAGGCGCCGUCUUGCUUUGCCUCUGUUCUUAAAGAUGACUGCAAACCUGGUUCGAUCGGGAUUCUCCAUAUGCACCUACGCUGCAAAGCACAUCCGCCCGGCCGGAGGAGGUGCCGGCUGCCGGCGGUGUUGGCAGAGCCUCGCUUGUCCGGCCGCUCUGGGCCUUGCCGGGACACGUCGCAUUUCUUGUCCACCGCUUUGGGCGUGUCUCCCCAGCGUGGGGAGCCCCCCAAGACCGGCCGAACCCAUUCUCGAGCCCCCGCUGCCGAGGAACGCACCGUGCCGGCGGUGCGGGGCAGUGCGGGGCGGGGCGGGCUCGGGCGCGGCGCCGCCGGGAGCCGCUGAAGGGAGGACUUCAAAGGAGCCGUCGGGGGCGAGAGGAGGCGGACAAAGCAAGCGCCAGGCUACCGAACACGGGGCUCCGCCGGCGAAUUUUAAGGCGCUUUAAGUCUAAAGGAGAAGUGACAAGGCAAUCAUCUCCUCGGCUCGGCUGCGGAUGGGAGGGCGGAAUCUUGCUAACAGCUCGUGUAUCUGUAUAUUUAAUUGCGACCUGGCUGCAUGUUCCUGUUGAGGAAGGAUGCAGAUCACAAGCGAAUCUAUAAAAACGCGGUUGACAAGCCCGGGAAAGGGAUAACUGACAGAUGAAACGAGAGUCAGCGCGGAGCUAACUGGCAAACGCAUUGGUACAAAGUCAGAUACCUUCUGAGAGGAGGAGUAGUUUGUUUUAUUGCCGUGCUCCAGAGUUUUAUCUCCUAUCGAUGUGAUGGGGUAGAGAGGAGCUAAUGUGCACUGUUUAGGAUACAAACAUGCAGAUUAGAUCAGACUUCAGACACAGUGUUUCACUCAAGAUUUAGGACAGUCGGAGGAAUAAACCAGGCUUCCCCCACCGAGGAAAACAUGGAAUUUUCUUUUAAUGUUUUAUGGGGAUUUAAACUUCUUUAAACACAACUGCUGUGCAUACGGAUUUAGGGAGCUAUCGGGAUUUGAUAGGGUCGGGAGCUGGGGCCCGGAGCUCAUCGCCACCGUUGUGCAAGGCUGGGGCGCUGGUAGAGCAUCAACCCGGCUCCCGUUUUCUUCACUUUUGUGUUACUUUAAGUUUUCAGUGAGGCUAGUGUAAUUACGAGGCGUUUAACUUUUUGCCAGGCUCUUUCAUUAUGGCUUUGCAUUUGCACCUCGCUUUUAAGAGAAGUAAUAACAUUCACAGUCAGGGGCAAAUCCCGUUAAUGAACAAAUUAAAGUUCAAAACAGUUAUUCAAGUUCACAGCCCCGCUCGCUGCUCCUUUAAUAAGAGUUAUACAUGUUACUUUCUCUCGGGAUCACUCCCCCUUUUAUUACUUUUUAAGCUUUUCAUAAGCACUAGCGGGCUGUACGGGCAGCUCCCAGCCUCUAAAGAGCCCACAAAUCCUGAAUGGAGCCCUAAUCCGACCUUAAUUUGGCAACUUUUGUAAAAAACAUAAAAGCUCGGGUGCCACCCUUGUGCGCUCAGAUUAUAAUGCCGCAGGGAACAAGCCGGGGGAAGGCCCCCUCUAUCCCGCACCCACCUAUUUGAGUUGGUUCCCUCCCCUCAGGAGCUGUGCAAAAAGCCUCUGUUCGUGCCUCACGGGCACCGGGAGAGAAAUUAGGAUCGAUACCCUGGAAAUUUCCCCCCCCCGCCACGAUAGCUCUACCAGGCUCUGCUGGGCGUGGGCUGCCGGGGCGGCCGGUGCCCCCAGCCCGUCCCGCAGCGCUGCCCUUGGGCCGGUUGCCUGCCUCAAGUGUUAGCGACGUGCAGUAAAAAAAAAAAAAAAAAAAAAAAAAAAGAAAGAUAAAUCCUUGCGUUCUUCCUCUCUUCCCGCCCCCUGCCCCCGGCUCCUCUUCUCUUUCUUCAAACCUUUCGCGAUUAGAGUGUCUGCACUCACCUCGGUAUUUGCAUAACAUGAAUCUAAAUUCCCCUUGUCAGGGGCUGCCCCGGCCCAGGGCAGCCGCGGCUCCCGGUGGGACCGGGCGGGGAGGGGGAGGCCCCUCCCGCGGAGCCGGGCUCUGGGCCGGGGGCGGCGGGCAGAGUCCAACAAAGCCCGGGGAAUUUGACACUGGUUCAAGGCAGCGCCAGUGCAAAAGCGCUGUCUAUGUACAAAUAGAGGAGAUCACACUCCCCAUUAUCUACCUCCUGGCGAGUGUUUGAUUUGUGACAUCAAAAGCUUAUCAAGGCAAGCUCACCAAAAAAAAAAAAAAAAAAAAAGAAAGAAAGAAAAAAAAAAGAGAGAAAAAGAAGGAGGAAAAAGAAGUACCUCUUCAUGGAGGGAGAUCCCUAUGGUUUGGGUGAUGUAAAGGAGGGAGGAAGGGGCCGGUGUUGUCAAAACGCUGCCGGUGCCAGGGAGGCGAUUCCUGCCCCGCCCGUGUCCCCGCGGGCCGAACGGCGGGGCGCUGGUGCGGGGCCGGCCGCGGGCGCACAGAGCAGCGGGCGGGCGGGCUGGCCCCGGCGGACGGCUGGAGGGAGGCCCUGAUUCCUCGCAGCCAUCCACACAGAAGUGGUUUGAUAUAAUCACCAUGACAACUGCCGCCUAUAAGCAUACAAAUAAUAGAGAUGAAAUAGACAAAAGAUUAGCAUGCCAUGAAAAGUACAAUAAGUUUCUUAUUUAGCAUUUAGAUAACUGUCUUUCCUUCGGAGCAGGCUUCAAAGUUGAACCCAGUUUAGACCAAGAGGAUUAAUUCUUUCUCCCGCAUGCUUCAUUGAAUCUCUCAUUACCAAACUUUGUCUGUAUUGAUGUAAGAUUUGAUUGAAGAUUAGAGCAUUUAGCAAAUCUUGCUUUUCUGCAUGUAUCAGGCCUUUUCAAGCGCAGACCGCGCUGCCCAGUGGUCAAUACCCUUACUUUUAUCCAGUGUCUGCUUCAUUUAAACUUAAUCAACUCCCUCAAUGAACUGGAACAGGGAAACGUCCCUGAGGUAAGAAUGUUGUGCUUUUCUUAGAUAAUUCUUUGCUCCCUCUCCCAAUCCGCUGGCGUUAAACCUAAAAUUGCUCUCUGAUGAACUUAAUCAAUAUGAUAAUGACAAUUGGGGCUGAAUGGCUCGGCCUGUGCUCAGCACGGAAAAGGUAGACGGCUGUGCCCCUUGCCCAAAAGCAACUUCUCCUUUCUCGCCUCUCCUUUUGUGUUCACUUCUCUCACCUUUCUUUCUCUCUCUCCCCCUCUUCCCCCCUCCGUGACACCGACCGCUGUUCACGCUGGAGAAUGAUGCUUCUUUGUGCGGCAGGAGGACUCGUAUGUCACCGCCCGGAGGAGCGGAGCGGAGCGAUUGGCCGGGUGAAUUAUCUGCCUUGUUGCAGUGAAUUAUUUGCGCUGUUUCCUUUCCCAGUCAACAAGUUUCUGAGGUAUAGAGCAGAUCAAUCAAAGCUGACAGAGCGCAUGUGAAGCUUUUACUGUGUAAAUCUGGACCUCUUGUCCCGGCUUCGUUGGCACUGGCAUCUGUAUAUCAUUUUUAUACUGCUACCAGUAGAGCAAUUUCAAAAGUAUUUGCAAGGAAAAUGGAUGUCCCCAUCUGUUCCUGGAAUCAUAAAUGUGCCACUUUCGGAGGGUUUUCACUGGUAAUCAUAUCUUUAAUGAUGAACAAACUUGUGAUAUAUACCUUUCCAUAAAAUGGGGUUUUCUUCACUUUAUUGUGAUUGGCUGGGAUAAAUAGCUUUUCCAUAUGUUAGGAAGAUAAAACAUAAGAUUACCAGACCUCGUUUGUUUGAUCAUAAACAAAAGAAACAAUUCGCUCCAAACACUCUUUAAACAGAAACAACUGCAGAAUUAAGUUGUAUUAAUAAGCUAUCGAUGGGUCAAGAGGCAAACAACUGUCUCCAUAGAAAAGACAGCUGGUUUAAAAUACGAAUAGUCGGUCCUUCUCACUAUUCGGGUGACCUUAAUGUAGACGCGGAUUUUAAAUACUCGAUGCUAAUUUUGUUUUCCUUAAGAUUGUCUUGCUUUUAUGUCCACUGAUUUUUUCUCUAGCUUGACUUUGAAUUUCCUUAAGUGCCAGAGUGAGGAUACGGUGCUGGGUAGUGCAUUGCCGUGAGCUAUAUUUAGAAAGCAGCUGGAAGAGAAAACGUCCUCAGGAAUCCGAACUGUUUUGUUGUAAAUGUCCCUCCAGUCCCAGCACUGUAAACAUAAACGCUCUUUCUGCAGACGGGAGCGCUGGGUAAGGAUGGGCUCGGGGAGCCACUGUUGACCCCACGGCACUCCCCAGCAGCCUUAGAGGUGUCCAGGGCAAUGAGAGGUGCCGUGGCCAGGGAUGCCCGGCGGCGUGGCUGCCAGCCCACCCUCGCGGUGGAGGCAGCGGCGCCUGGGUUUCUCCCCGCCAGAGGCUCCCCUCUCCGCCCGGGGGAAUUGUCGGAUGCCCCCAUUUCUCCGUGUGAGUGCCUCAGCAGCAGGUUCACUGCCCGUUUAGGCGGGACAGCCCUCCCCGCCCGCCGCCGCCCCGGGCCGGGCACUCCGCGUCCGUGGGCGCUGGCGGAGCCGGUGCACUACGGCGGGGUCGGGUGGCACGGACAGCCCUUCCCCGCCCCUGGAGCAGCAACAGCACCCUCAGACCCACUGCCCGCUCCCUGCAAGGAGUGAGGGUCGAUGCUAAACGAGGUCUCGCCCGCUGGGGCUUGGCCCUUCGGAAAUGGAGACAGGGUUCCCGGGGCAGCCCGUGCCGAAGGGCCAUCCCCGCCUGGCCGUCGUUCAGGGUGCGAGCCCCAGCGGCACUGAGACAGUGCCGGGGUACGCUCUGCUCCGCGCCUUGGGGACCCCGCGCCUUGGGGACCCCGCGCCAGACCCCGAGGCCCGACGGGGCGGGCGGCUGCACACGCCAUCCCGAAACCCUCGUGUGUUCAGCGGCCAGGCAGCUCUGCCCGCUCCCCAGACGGCAAAGGGGGCAAUUGCCGCGACACCGCGAUGGAAGGAGACGCCUCCGAGCCCCUUCCUCCAGGCCUAUGCCUCUCGGUGGGCACAGGGAGCCGGGGCAGCGCUGAGCGGGCGGGUCCCAGCUGAGAGCAGGGAGAGCGGCAGCCUCCAAGGGCGGGGCUUCCCAGCCUCGCCCGCACCGCACCGCGUUCCCGCGGCCGAGGGGGAUGAAUUGGUACCGGCGGGCGGGAAAGUGAGGAAGUUAACAUCUCUUAAGGCCUGAAGAGACCAUUAAAUCAUCUGUCUGGCCUUCUGCAUUACAGGGCCGUAUAACUCCAUCCAGUCCUAAGGCAUUAAGCCAGAUAAUUUGUGUUCGAGUAAAAUGUGCCUUCAAGAAAGUCUCAUGGUCCUGAGGGUUUCAAGAGAUGGAGAUUUUGCUCUUGUCCCGAAGAGUUUGUUGCGGCAGUUAACCCUUGUUUAAGGGAUGAGCCUCGUUUCCAUGACACACUGCCCUUGUUGAAAUUACUCCCAAUUGCCAGGCUUUUGUUUUGGAACCUCCUAGUCCCGUUGUUGCAGCUGCGGCAACCUCGGCUUCUCCCUUCCUUUCACACGGGUGUCGUGCCUAAUGUUAGCACAGACGAGGCCCUGGCCCCUCCUCAGGCUGCCUGGGGUCUCCUGAGGCAUCCAACACCUACCUAAGUCAGCCUGCCUGGUGACAGGAACAAGGAAGAGUCCCAGCACUUCAAACUGGGUAGGCCAAUGGGACAUACCAUUUAAAACCACUGUUUGAGGGCCCAAUCCUGCUUUACUGUGAAAUCACGGGCCAACACGCCUUUCUAACCAAGCCAACGCAAAAUGGGAGAAGGACGAGAUACCUUCUUGAGAACCUCUGUUCUCUCCGCUGGGCAGGCAAAGCCUGAAGAUGCCUGGAUGUGAGUGAUUGGGGUGCUGUGGGCUUGGAGUAUUCGUAGAAGAGGAGAAUAUUUUAUCUGUUGAUCACCUAGGGCUCAAAAGAUUUUAUUUCUCUAGUAGGUCGUUGCUGCCCUCUGUCCUAGGGCAAUGCUGUUGGCAGCAGGAUGAAGCCAACCCCGCUUCAGAGGAGUAGGUCCCCAGCUGCUGGCGCCGGCCCGAGGCUUCUAAUGUGAGGAAAAACACGCGGUGACAAGUGUGGAAAAGAGCAAGCACUAAAUUACUGUCAGAAAAAUAAACGGCGGAGCGCGGCGCGGGGCGGUGAUUUACGGGGGCAAUUAGUCACCGCCCCACCGAGCCGCUGGGGCCGGCGGGGCCGCCGCAGCCUCCCCUGAGGCUGGCCCGGCUCUCGCUCAUGGCCUAGGCCGGCACCCAGCACGGGCAUCCAGGGUUCGUCCCGCUCCUGCGGCUCAUUUUUUGCCUAUCCCAAAAACAGGCGUGUGGGAGGAGGAAGGAGCCACCCCAAAAGCCACAGUCCAUGUUUGCAGAGAGGGUGGGGAUGCCGCGGGCCUGCUUAUUCGUUGUGGCCAGUGGCUGGUGCCCAGGUGUAGGGUGAUUAAAGAAGUCAUGAAGUGCUGUUAAAUGAAAAAUACUCUUGGAGAACGAAAGCUGGAAAGCUGCUGGGCUGGGUGAGAGGGUGGAGGUGGCUCCACAGCUGCUGCAUGUCUUCUGGAGGUGCUGUGGGCCAUUAAGCCUUCCAGUCUUGGAGAAGGGCCAGCUCUGCUGCUAGCUGGGAGUGGAUAUUAUAAACAUAUCUUAAUGCUGUUGUUUCACCAGGGUGGAGUCCAGGAGAGAGAUGUUUUAAUUUUAAGCUAGCAGGAAAGAAAUGAUGGACAAUUCAAGCUCUGGCUCAGCCUGGGACCAUGACAGUGAGCCCCCAGCCAGCAUGUUGUGGGCUUUUGUAACUUUCUGCCCCAUGUGUUCUUGUUGACCCAGCAAUCCUUACUUAGUUGGUGCCUGUAUGUCAGUUUUCACUUUCUAAGGCCUUAUUGGCCACCUAGGCCUUAUGUCCAUCCCCUGAGCAGGGGCAGCAUUAUCUGACUUUAGAUGCACGCUGUCAUUAGACCUGCCAGCCUGGUGUCUGGCUCCUCCAAAUAGUUGGCACUUGGAUAAUGGGAGACAGCCUGUCCGAGCUCGCUGCAACAGCUUGGUGCCAGCCAGCCCUGCAAGGACCGGUGCCAGCAGCAGUCCUUGCCAGGGCCUGCUCAUCAAACAGACCGGCAGCUGACCCAUGGCUGCUACUGUGGGACAAAGGGAAAAGCAGCAGAGCAAGUCCCUCUUGACAUGGCACCCCUUGGGAAAGACAAGCACGUGCCUUUUGGAAGAGGAGGCAAGCUGGAGGAUGAAGAGCUGUUGCAGGUCCCAGUGGUUUCGGUAAGAGGCCUUCUCUCCCUGCUCCACUUUCCCAGCUGGUGGGUGGGAUGUGAUACCUGCCUUUGGGAAGAACUCGAGACUUAUGAAUGAUCACAGAGGAUCAUCAGUGGUUAUUUUGGGGUUUGCCCUUAGCUGCCUCUUUGUUUUCUAGAAGUGGUUCUUGUAGGGACAUGGGUAUGUGCUCAUGAGGUGCUUCUGGUGCUCCCUUCCCUCACGAGGCACAGCCCCAUUCCUCCCUGAGGUUGUUAGGCAGUCUCCUAAUAAGUGAUGUGACCAGCAUAUCUCACGUGUAAUUUUCUUAUUUCCAUGGGAAAAAUUGUUUAUGUUCUUCAAAUAAAUAAUAAAUAUCUUUCAUUCUUGUC